CACGUGAUCGCAUAUUUUGUAAUAAUUUUACAGCAACUUGCUACUUGCAUUUUUUCAGUUUUGACCCUCCAAGUCCUCAACAGCUGCGAACAAGUACUAUAGAAACACCUUUUUGUCAUGGUUGUUCUAGUAAAAGUCGUUUAUUGUGGUGGAUGAGGCUACAAAGGCCGGGUGGACAGGCUGAAGACUGAGUUGUCCAAGAAGUACGGGUCUGGUAUCAAAUUUGAGGAAGAGAGGACGCCAAACAUUUCGGGAAAGUUUGAAGUUUUUGUCAACGAGGCACUAAUCCAUUCUAAAAUAGAUGGUAAUGGAUUUGUUGACAGUGAUGAAAAGAUGGCCAAGAUCACCAGUGCCAUUGAUAAAGCCAGCUCAUGAAGUGGGCCUUAUGUAGAGUUGUAGUAUGAUGCUUGUUUGGUAUUUCUUGUGUAUUCAGUCAUGAAGGGAUAGCCUUAAAGGUUAACCCCUGGCUUAUCCCCGAUGCUUAAUCUGAGUCCACAAGAAUAUGCCACCAUGAUUACUACGACUAAACUAACUCUAUCAUUAUUAUUAUUUAUUAAUGUGAUUGCAGUAGCUAAUCUUUCAUUGAUAAAAACUGUUAGUUAAAAAAA